AUUGAACGCUGGCGGCAGGCCUAACACAUGCAAGUCGAACGAGUGGCGGACGGGUGAGUAAUGUCUGGGUAACUGCCCGAUGGAGGGGGAUAACUACUGGAAACGGUAGCUAAUACCGCAUACCAUCGGAUGUGCCCAGAUGGGAUUAGCUAGUAGGUGGGGUAACGGCUCACCUAGGCGACGAUCCCUAGCUGGUCUGAGAGGAUGACCAGCCACACUGGGAAUGAGACACGGUCCAGACUCCGACGGGAGGCAGCAGUGGGGAAUAUUGCACAAGGGGCGCAAGCCUGAUGCAGCCAUGCCGCGUGUAUGAAGAAGGCCUUCGGGUUGUAAAGGACUUGCAGCGGGGAGGCGUUACUCGCAGAAGAAGCACCGGCUAACUCCGUGCCAGCAGCCGCGGUAAUUC
rnacentral:rRNA from 1 species